rnacentral:rRNA from 1 species
AUGUGCAUACCAAAGAAAAGAGGAGGUAUGGGUUUCAGAGAUAUAUCAUGUUUCAAUCUAGCGAUGCUAGCCAAACAGGUCUGGCGGAUGUUAUGUGAGCCAGACUCCCUUUGUACACGUGUGCUCAAGGCGAGGUAUUUCCCUUCUGGCGAUCUUCUAAAUGCUGAAUUGAAAAAGGGUUCUUCGUAUACCUGGCAAAGCAUACAUGCAGGCAUCCAAUGUUUUAGGACAGGGUAUAUAUGGUGGGUGGGAGAUGGCACGGACAUAAACAUAUGGGAUGAUUCGUGGAUUCCCAAUAGCCCGUCAAGGAAGAUUUUGACUGAGCGACAGAAUAUUGUGCUUACGUCAGUCUCAUAAUUGAUCAAUCCGGAUGCGAAGGAAUGGGACGAACAGCUAGUAAGGAGCCUCUUCUUGCCAGUUGAUGCGGCAAGAAUUCUUAAUAUUCCCCUAGCAGUUGGUUAUAUGGAGGAUUUUGUUGCUUGGAAUUAUACAAAAUCGGGCCUAUUUACCGUCAGGUCCGCUUACUACACCGAAUGGGAGUUUCAGCAUGGGAGGAAAUUGGCUAGGACAAGCCCUCCGAGCACCACUGCUGUGAACCCUGUCUGGCAGCAAGUGUGGAAACUUCAAGUCCCGGCAAAGGUAAAGAUUUACUGUUGGAGGGUCUUGCAUGGGACUAUUCCAUGUAAUAGUAUUCUCGCUAGGCGACACAUACAGACCAGAAGUAUUUGCCCUGUUUGCAAAAUCCAUUGUGAGGAUAUCAAGCAUGCUACCUUCUCUUGUGGUCGAGUGUCUGAAGUCAGGGAUAAUUUGGGCGUGGGUGAUACCAUAGGU